rnacentral:rRNA from 1 species
UACGUAGGGGGCAAGCGUUGUUCGGAAUUACUGGGCGUAAAGGGCGCGUAGGCGGCAUGGCAAGUCAGGAGUGAAAGGCCUGGGCUCAACCGAGGAACUGCUUUUGAUACUGCCAAGCUAGAGUGCGGAAGGGGCAACUGGAAUUCCCAGUGUAGCGGUGAAAUGCGUAGAUAUUGGGAAGAACACCUGAGGCGAAGGCGGGUUGCUGGGCCGACACUGACACUGAGAGACGAAAGCUAGGGGAGCAAAUGGG